AACACCGGAGGUGAUCAAGACAGAGGAAACAAUUCCAGAACAAACAGCGAUCGAAGUUCCUGCUCCAGAACAACCGGAAGCUGAAGUUCCUGCCACAGAAGUACCAACAGAAGAAACAACCGAACAGCCAACAGAAACAACAGAAGAAACUCCAGCUGCCGUAGAAACACAAGAUCCAGUUGAAGUUGAGACCAAGGAAGUGGUAACAGAAGAAGCCAAGGAAGAGAAUACAGAAGCACCUAAAGAAACAGAGGAAUCAGUUGAAGAAGUGAAGGAAGAGGCUGCAGCAGUAGUGGAGGAGCCUGUAGCAACCAUUGAAAAUGAGUCAGAAGCACCAGCAGCAGUAACUGCUGAGGAAGAGAAUGUUAAACCAGUUGAGUCAGUGGAAGCUCCAGCAGCAGAAGAAGUUCCAGUUGAGAAAUCUGAAGCUUAAAACAAUGGAGGGUGUGUGAAUGGAAUUGAUGAAAAAGAGAGAUUAAAUUAAUGGUUCUAGUUGUUGGGAUCGGGUCUACCAUUUUGCAUGUCGAGGU
rnacentral:lncRNA from 1 species